rnacentral:rRNA from 1 species
UCGGGAAUUUUGGGCAAUGGGCGAAAGCCUGACCCAGCAACGCCGCGUGAGGGAUGAAGUAUUUCGGUAUGUAAACCUCGAAAGAAUGGGAAGAAUAAAUGACGGUACCAUUUAUAAGCUCCGGCUAACUACGUGCCAGCAGCCGCGGUAAUACGUAGGGAGCAAGCGUUGUUCGGAUUUACUGGGCGUAAAGGGCGCGUAGGCGGCGCGGUAAGUCACUUGUGAAAUCUCUGAGCUUAACUCAGAACGGCCAAGUGAUACGGCUGUGCUAGAGUGCGGAAGAGGCAACCGGAAUUCUUGGUGUAGCGGUGAAAUGCGUAGAUAUCAAGAGGAACACCUGAGGCGAAGGCGGGUUGCUGGGCCGACACUGACGCUGAUGCGCGAAAGCCAGGGGAGCAA